rnacentral:rRNA from 1 species
AUACGGAGGGUGCAAGCGUUAUUCGGAAUCACGGGGCGUAAAGGACGCGUAGGCGGGUUGGCAAGUCAGAUGUGAAAUCCUACAGCUUAACUGUAGAACUGCAUUUGAAACUGCUAACCUAGAGUAUGGGAGGGGGAGAUGGAAUUAGUGGUGUAGGGGUAAAAUCCGUAGAUAUCACUAGGAAUACCGAAAGCGAAGGCGAUCUCCUGGAACAUAACUGACGCUAAGGCGUGAAAGCGUGGGGAGCAAACAGGAUUAGAAACCCCAGUAGUCC